rnacentral:rRNA from 1 species
CCUACGGGAGGCAGCAGUAGGGAAUAUUGCUCAAUGGGGGAAACCCUGAAGCAGCAACGCCGCGUGGAGGAUGAAGGUCUUCGGAUUGUAAACUCCUUUUGUUAGAGAAGAAAAUGACGGUAUCUAACGAAUAAGCACCGGCUAACUCCGUGCCAGCAGCCGCGGUAAUACGGAGGGUGCAAGCGUUACUCGGAACCACUGGGCGUAAAGAGCGCGUAGGCGGGAUAGCGAGUCAGAUGUGAAAUCCUCUGGCUUAACCAUAGAACUGCAUUUGAAACUGUUAUUCUAGAGUAUGGGAGAGGUAGGUGGAAUUCUAGGUGUAGGGGUGAAAUCCGUAGAGAUCUAGAGGAAUACUCAUUGCGAAGGCGACCUGCUGGACCAUGACUGACGCUGAUGCGCGAAAGCGUGGGGAGCAAACAGGAUUAGAUACCCCUGUAGUC